rnacentral:misc_RNA from 1 species
AGCCGCCGCAAGGCGGCUUUGUCGUUUGUGGCGCUGUACCCAGCCUCAACCGGUCACACCCGAUACGAAAAGACUGGCUUAUCGCGAUAGUUGUAGCGAUGUACCUUUCGCGCUAGCCUCCCGAAAGCUCUAUGGGGGCGCAAAUGUCCGAGGUUCCGAGCGAGACCAAGAAGCCGGGCAAAUUUGCCAGCAUUCAAAAUGGCAUUGCAUCGAUGGCGGGCAUUCUCGGCGCCACCGGAGCCGUAGGCGGCGCUUGCAUCUAUCUUCUGAGCCCUCGCAUCGACAAGUACAUCGAGG